UACGGAGGGUGCAAGCGUUAUCCGGAUUCACUGGGUUUAAAGGGUGCGUAGGCGGCUUGAUAAGUCAGUGAUGAAAGCUCGCAGCUUAACUGUGAAACUGCCAUUGAAACUGUCAGGCUUGAGUACAAUUGAAGUGGGCGGAAUACAUCAUGUAGCGGUGAAAUGCUUAGAUAUGAUGUAGAACACCGAUUGCGAAGGCAGCUGGCUACGCGAGUAUUGACACUGAGGCACGAAAGCGUGGGGAUCAAACAGG
rnacentral:rRNA from 1 species